rnacentral:rRNA from 1 species
AUGGAGAGGGUGACGAGGCUAUCGACGGAGAAGGCAGUGGUGAUCUUCACGCCGAGCAACGACUGCCCAAUGAGCUACACAGUGACGACCCUCUUCUCUGGCCUCGGCGUUUGCGCGGCCGUGCACGAGCUGGACAAGGACCCCCGGGGCCGUGACAUGGAGCGCGACCUCGCCCGUCGCCUGGGCCGCACGCCGGCCGUCCCGGCCGUCUUCAUCGGCGGCAAGCUCGUCGGUUCCACCGACAGGGUCAUGUCGCUGCACCUUGGUGGGAAGCUGGUGCCCAUGCUCAAGGCCGCCGGGGCGAUCUGGCUCUGA